rnacentral:rRNA from 1 species
UACGUAGGGCGCAAGCGUUGUCCGGAAUUACUGGGCGUAAAGAGCUCGUAGGUGGUUUGUCGCGUUGUUCGUGAAAACUCACAGCUCAACUGUGGGCGUGCGGGCGAUACGGGCAGACUUGAGUACUGCAGGGGAGACUGGAAUUCUCGGUGUAGCGGUGAAAUGCGUAGAUAUCGAGAGGAACACCUGCGGCGAAGGCGGGUUGCUGGGCUGACACUGACGCUGAGGCGCGAAAGCUAGGGGAGCGAACGGG